rnacentral:rRNA from 1 species
CCUACGGGAGGCAGCAGUGAGGAAUAUUGGUCAAUGGACGCAAGUCUGAACCAGCCAUGCCGCGUGCAGGAAGACGGCUCUAUGAGUUGUAAACUGCUUUUGUACGAGGGUAAACGCAGAUACGCGUAUCUGUCUGAAAGUAUCGUACGAAUAAGGAUCGGCUAACUCCGUGCCAGCAGCCGCGGUAAUACGGAGGAUUCAAGCGUUAUCCGGAUUUAUUGGGUUUAAAGGGUGCGUAGGCGGUCGGAUAAGUUAGAGGUGAAAUCCCGAGGCUCAACUUCGGAAUUGCCUCUGAUACUGUUCGGCUAGAGAGUAGUUGCGGUAGGCGGAAUGUAUGGUGUAGCUGUGAAAUGCUUAGAGAUCAUACAGAACACCGAUUGCGAAGGCAGCUUACCAAGCUACUUCUGACGUUGAGGCACGAAAGCGUGGGGAGCAAACAGGAUUAGAUACCCCAGUAGUC